UACAGAGGUCUCAAGCGUUGUUCGGAUUCAUUGGGCGUAAAGGGUGCGUAGGCGGCGCGGUAAGUCGGGUGUGAAAUCUCGGAGCUUAACUCCGAAACUGCAUUCGAUACUGCCGUGCUUGAGGACUGGAGAGGAGACUGGAAUUUACGGUGUAGCGGUGAAAUGCGUAGAUAUCGGGAGGAACACCAGUGGCGAAGGCGGUUACCUGGAGCUUUGCUGACGCUGAUGCGCGAAAGCGUGGGGAGCGAUCCGG
rnacentral:rRNA from 1 species